UCUACCGCUACUCAAAUUCGCUGUGGGCAACGGAGGGUGCCAUGCUGAGGAAGAGGUCGUCGUGCCACCUGUCGCCGCUCAAGCUAGCACCACCCAUCGUCCCUUUUGCUCUACUUCUCGAGGGCGCCAUCAGGGCCGUGGUGGGUGGCGGUGGCGGUGGCCAACGGCAACAUCGGGCAGAUGAUUGAAGGUCGGAAGACUGUGCUGCUCCUAACACGCUGGAGUCAUGAACCUCAAGAGACUCAGUCACCAAGUAGGUGACUUGCUGUCCAGGACGCGCGCUUCGUUCACGACAUUAUUGAAACAGGAGGCAAAGAACCCACUUGAAAACUCCAUCCACAACAUAAGUUUCAGGAAGCAGCAACUAGCUAAUCAAACAAGCCAUUGCUCCUUUCCAUCCUCCUCUCUUACUACUUCAGAAUUCAGAUAUGGCCAAGGCAAGUUCAUACUUUGUUUUAAUUGAAGUUUGAAAUUUCAGCGACCAUACUUUACUACAUUAAAAUAGAAAAAGACCAUCAGGAAAUCUAAAUGAUUAAGUGUUGACACUGUUUUUUUAACGCGGUCUGGUCAAAGAUAAGGCAAGGGAGGAGGCCAAUGGGACUGGCCGAUGCUCAAGCAGAAGAGGCGGUUGAUUGUCCAAGAUGACGUCGCAACCGAUGGAGCGGAAUUGAUGCCGAUGGUCCACGUCAGCAAGUUAUCGUAUGGAGUCCAAAUUAUUUAUUUUAGAAAGAUUGUUUUCUUUUUGGUCAAGUCAUGUUGUGUCGUGAUCGACUAGGGUUUGUUAGCUUAGACUAUAAAUAUUAGUCUACGGGCUUGUAAU